rnacentral:rRNA from 1 species
UGGGGAAUAUUGCACAAUGGGCGCAAGCCUGAUGCAGCCAUGCCGCGUGUGUGAAGAAGGCCUUCGGGUUGUAAAGCACUUUCAGCGAGGAGGAAGGUGGUGAACUUAAUACGUUCAUCAAUUGACGUUACUCGCAGAAGAAGCACCGGCUAACUCCGUGCCAGCAGCCGCGGUAAUACGGAGGGUGCAAGCGUUAAUCGGAAUUACUGGGCGUAAAGCGCACGCAGGCGGUUUGUUAAGUCAGAUGUGAAAUCCCCGGGCUCAACCUGGGAACUGCAUUUGAAACUGGCAAGCUAGAGUCUCGUAGAGGGGGGUAGAAUUCCAGGUGUAGCGGUGAAAUGCGUAGAGAUCUGGAGGAAUACCGGUGGCGAAGGCGGCCCCCCUGGACGAAGACUGACGCUCAGGUGCGAAAAGGCGUGGGGGAGCAAACAGGAUUAGAUACCCUGGUAGUCCACGCUGUAAACGAUGUCGAUUUUGGAGGUUGUGCCCCUUGAGGCGUGGCUUCCGGAGCUAACGCGUUAAAUCGACCGCCU